rnacentral:misc_RNA from 1 species
AAAAAUUCUUGGUGUUCCAAUCCUCGAUAUUCCCGUUGCUUCCAGAAAUGAGUCAUCAUCAUCACUUGUUUCCGCUUCUGCCAAUCUCCGUUCCUCUCCUGAAAGAAAGACUAUCAGACAUGAGAGGAGGAGUAUGGUGAUCGACAUUAAUGUGGCUUGUGACCUUUCUAUGGUUGAGCCCGAAGAAUCUGAUGCUGUAGAACAUAUCGUUACUACGAAAGUGAUGGAGACAAAAACUAUCAACAUCAAGAAUCACUUUGAUCUGAACUCAUGUAUUACUGAGGAUGAAGAACCAAUUUCUUAUGAAACCAAUAAGGCCAA